AUAAUAAUAAUAAUAAUAAUAAUAAUAACUCUAUGGAACUUCCCCGUACGGACCGACAAGACUAUAAAAGCUAAUAAACCGGAUAUUAUAAUAAAAGAUCAGACAAAAAAGAUGUGUUUAUUAAUUG